GAGAGAUAGCUGGUUGUUUAAGAAAGGGAUUAUAAGUCCAACUUUAAACUUUUAAUUAUGUCAAAUAUACCAACAAGUUUAAAAUUUAUUCAAAUAAGGUACAGCCUAUUUGAAACAGGAUACAACCUACACUAGAGGGUAAUGCUAACAUACUGUGACUAAGUGGGCCUAAGAGCAGCCAUCUUUUUAAAAGCGUUAAAGCCUUAUCACACCAAAAAUCCAAUCCCUAAAUAAACUCAGAACCCCUUACCAAUAUUAAACGACUCCAUAGCCAUAUGGAAAACCCCAUGUCUGAACUAGUAACAAGAACAACUUCUCCAACAAAGCAAGCAUAAGCCGGAAUGAACUACUCACCGGCAUUUAUCGCCAAUGAACCAACAGUAACAACUAAACAAGAAAACCUUACUUUAUUUUAGCGUUAACCUUACACCAGAGCUUUCCAGGAAAGAUUAAAAAAAGGGGAAGGAACUCGGCAAAUACUAACCUCGCCUGUUUACCAA
rnacentral:rRNA from 1 species